ensembl:lncRNA
GUCUGUUGUUCCAUGUCCAGUUCUAACUGUUGCUUCCCGACCUGCAUACAGGUUUCUCAAGAGGCAGGUCAGGUGGUCUGGUAUUCCCAUCUGUUUCAGAAGUUUCCAGUUUAUUGUCAUCCACACAGUCAAAGGCUUUAACAUAGUCAAUAAAGCAGAAAUAGAUGUUUUGCUGGAACUCUUAACUUUUUCGAUGAUCCCACAGAUGUUGGCAAUUUGAUCUAUUUAGACAAAUACAAAACACAACCGCAAAAGAUGGCACCACACACCUUUUAGAAUGGCUUAAAAUACACUCUGAUAGUACCAAGAUUAGUCAAGAAUGUGGAGCAACUACAGCUCUCAUACAUUGCUGGUGAAAUUACAAAAUGGUACAACCUGUUUUACAAAACAUUUUGAGGAAGUUUGUAGUAAUGUUAACAUGUGACCUAUCCACCACACUUCUGAGUAUUUAUCUAAGAACAACAAAAAUUAUGUUCACACAAAAAUCUAUACCUAAGAGUUUUCUGGGAAGAUCAUGGAGUAGGAAGUAACAGAAGUCCAACUUAGCACCUAAUGUAGUUGCGCCAUAGUCACUAUUUUGGAAUUCUGGAGUCUAGGGCUUGCAACUUCCAGAUGAAGCCUUGGACAGUAAAUUGUUAAUUUAGGCCAGUUUCAGCUCCUAGCAUAGUGAUAGCAACGAGUCUUCCAACCCCAACCAUGUGGCAGGCAGCCAUAUAUGUAUCCUGGAGCACCUUGCUGAUAGGAGUCAAGACCUGCUGACAGAUUAUCAAAAUAUAUGAAUCAAAACCUGACAGUUGGAAGAGAAUAACAGACAAUUCUACAGUAACAGUUGGAAACUGCUGGGCUCAGAAAUUGAAGAGGAGGGAAAGGUUCCUGAUUAAUUUCAUGAGACCAGUAUUACUCUAAUAUCAAAUAAAGAGAAAGACACUGCAAAUGAAGAUUGCAGGCCAAUAUACCUUUGGUUCAACGCUGAUGCAAAACUCCUUAAAAGGAGCAUAUUAAAAGGAUUUUACUUCAUGAC